AGCUCGCCGCCUCCUUCCCCUUCUCCAGGCCUGUGGGUCACACCACCUUGAAGCGGUCAAGGUCAUGGCUCUGGCUUAGUUUCCUUUGGGUUUCUGAAGAACCAUCCCGACACUGGGGGGAGCCAUCUCCUCACGUUGCAGACGUAGCCUCUGGCUUCAGAAACAGUUUCUUUCUAGAGCUUUCCUUGCUCAAACCUCAGUGUUGGUGCUCACCCAGCGAGCAAGAAUCAGGCCUGACCCGCAAAACGGUCCCCAAGAGAUGCUCUCCUGCCGGCCGCAUGUGUUUUGGGCUCAGACAAGUACUUUCUCCUUCCCACUGCCCAGCCUCAGUGUGGAAGCCAGUCUCAGAAGCCACAGCAGCUCGCCCCUCUAAUGUCCCUUCAGCUCCUCCCUGGGCCUCCUCAGCCCUCAGGCUUCCUGCAGCAACCAUCAACACUCACGACCUACUGGUCAACAAGAAAGCAUUGAACACCAUUUACCUAAAAAAAGAAAAAAAAAGAGUAUAUGUAUUUUUGGUGCAAAUAAAAACGUGUGAACAGUAGAGGCUCUGUUGGAGUUUGGCGGGAAACAGGAAAUUAUAUGGUAAAAAAAAAAAAGGGGAAAUUACCCAUUUUUUUUUUCCCCCUCUUUGCACAAUUAUUUGGCUGUAGUAAAAGUGAAAGUAAAAGUUUAGGGCAAGGAAUGCAUGCCCACUGGAGGGGACGUGCUGGCGGAACAGGGACUGGGGUGUGUGGUGCGGUGGGAUUCUGAACAGCCCAGGGGAGAGCUGUGAUCUUUCUGGAUCCCAAAGUGGGAUGUACUGCGCAAGGGAGUGUCCAUCAAACUCGGGGCCAGAGCGGUCAUUUGUUGUUUUUCUCAGCGAGAAAGCACCCAGAGAGGAAUGCUUGCUUUGAGGUUCCUGGAAAGAGUAACAUAGAGGAAGAGCAGUUCCGAGAACUAAGAAGAUUCCAUUUGGCUCUCCCUGUGGCCCCAGUAAGGAAGAUGUUACCAGUUCCAUUCUGCAGUCGUGAAACUGGAAAACAAAACAGAACAAUGAAACGGAUGAUAGUCACGCCGUGGCCCCUUCUUCACCUGGGAGACCUAGAACCAGCACCUGCUAUAUACCGGACCUAACGCUACUUCUACCUCAAAACUGAACUGUUCCUUUGGGGCUAUUUGAAUGCUAACUACUGACCAGAUAUUUGGCCAUGUUAAGGAAUUAUUGUUUCUUUCUGUUUUUUGUUGUUGUUUGUUGUUUCUUCUCUCUCUCUCUCUCUCUUUUUUUUUUUUUUUUUUGGUAUGAUACUGAUAUUGUGAUAAUGUUAACAGUAUUUCAAUUUUGGAGCUUUGUCCUAAAAUAUGCACACAUGAAAUAUGAAAAGGUUUUGGAUUUGCUUCACAAUAGUUCAGUUUGGGGGGGGGGCGAUAGAUGAAACCAGAUUGGUUUUAGGACGAUAAUUGUUGAAGCUGGUUAUGAACAUAGAAGGGUUUAUUAUAUGAUUGCCUUCGGUUUUGCAUGUUUAAACAUUUUCCUAAUA